rnacentral:tRNA from 1 species
GGGCCGUUAGCUCAGUUGGUAGAGCAGCUGACUCUUAAUCAGCGGGUCGUAGGUUCGAGACCUACACGGCCCACAA